CCCAGAUGUGGUGGUGGCACACAGGGAGCUCAUUACACCGAAGACAACACAAAGCGUUUAUUUCCAUAUUAAAACAUUUUGUUUCCGCUCUGUGUUUGAUUAGGUGAGAAAGAGGAAGAGGAGGAGGAAGAAGGGGAGGAGGCUACUGCCGCUGAACAUGGCAGACUCCACUGAAGGCGACCCUCGGCGUCUGUAUAUAUAAACGACUCAUUCUGAGGUAAUAAAAUCAUGAUUCCUAUAUUUAGGUGACUAUAAACCAAUGAAAACAUACUAAUAUUAUAUUCCAUUUCAAUAGAUCAUCCUAAAUGUUACACACUGGACCUUUAAAUUAAUAACAGUGAACUUCCUUAUCUGCCCUGUCAUUUGUCCAACAACAUCAUACUGGUUAGGUUAUCAGUGAGGUAAGUAAAGUUUUUGUUUCUGUUUAAUUUUAUUUUUAUGCUCGGCCACUCUCUUUCUCUCUGUCAUUUUUACACUCUUUGACUUGAGCCAGAUUUCUUCAUCAUGGACCUGGCUUGGAGACAUUGUCAAACUUCAACCUCCCAAAGCUGCCACAAAGUUGGAAGUACAUUAUUGUCUAAAAUAUUACUGAAUGCUGUAACAUAAAGAUUUCCCUUCCCUGGAACUGGAGUCCAGACUCUGAAAAGAGCCUCAGAACAAAAUGACACUACAUGGAUUUCUGCAGUGAUUUGUCCUGUAUUCUACAGCACUGGGUGAAAUCUGUCACUUAUGUAGGAGUAAACAAACACUAUAUGCUUUGAAGGGACCAAAAGCAGUGACCCAAAAAGUUGGACAUUUGCCAGCAAAAACUGCCCUAAAAGACCCCAAAACAGCUCAGACACAUCAAUAUCACUAUCUUUGGGUCAAGGGGAAAAGUAAACCAGGCCAAUAAUCAUCUUGUGUUUGGCAUAAUGUCUGAUUUUGCCAUGUUAAAGUUAUAGUCAUUAAACGUACUACAAGGAGUUUUAAACUAGUUAUUAAACAGUCUCAAUGCAAUACUGAUGCCUUUAUAUGACCUACAUAAGACCAUCAGUUUCUAUAGUUAUUCUUAAUGCUUACUUGGUUGGAUUCGGUCAGAUUCCCCCUUGAAAUCAAUUAAACAUCAUCGCUUUUGUCCACAGGGGCCACCAUAAUCAACAAAAAAAUCAAAGUUCCUUGGAGGGACUUUAAGAUUUAAGCCUGGUUCAUUUGGCGACACCUCUGGUUACCAUGGUAACAGCAAGCACUCUGAGUGCAGCUACAGUAUUUUGUCAGAAAUACAACAGAAGAGCAUCCAGUGUAUGUCUUUACAGUGCUGCCAAACUAACCCACAUUAUUUUGUAACGUACCAUAGCUAAUAGUCUGCCUUUGACAACAUGAAUGGCUAUGACAGAAUAAAAUCUUAAAUUUUACAACUUUCAGAAUAAAAGGAAUAAUUUUAUUUUGAGAAAGUAAAAAAAAAUUAUAAAUAAAAAUAGAAAUAAUAAUAAAAGAUAUACAAUAUAUAUGCUAAUAUAUAUACAAAGUUAUGUAUGCCUCAGUAUGUGACGGACAGAAAUGAGUAAUAGUAGUAAGUUUUUAAAGAGUGUGGUAUUGCAGAAGUUAUUCUGAAGUUAUUAAAUUAUUACAGAGAAUGACGGAAAUAAUCCAGUGUACUGCACCUUCAUGAACUUAUUGCACAAACUGCGCUUCAAUUUCAUGCCAUAUAUGUCUAUUUUUUAUCUUUUUUUGGGUGCAGAGAGCUCAGCAAAGCUUUACACUGAAAUAUUUUCUGAAGGCAAAGCAAAUGUUUUUCUUUCCCUGCACCUGUUUGGUAUUUUAGUGACUUGUGUGCUGCGGUGAGAGGAGAUUCACAGUAGGGGGAAUGUCUCUGGCAAUGCAGCUGUGCACUGCAAUUUCAACGUCAAGAUUUACAAUAUUUAAUGCCGCUUGCUGCCUGUCUUCUUGGAUCAGAUCAACAGCGCACAGAGCACCACAAACCUGGUGGAACUCCAACAUAAACCUCUCAAAAAAAAUCCCUCAAAUGACUUUUUGCUUGUCUGUUUUCACAUUCCUUAUCCAUUCUCUAACAGGAAGACACAUAUUAUUAAAGAAAAAAUACAGCUUUUCAUAUAUAAGUUUACAUCAUGUCAAACUGAGUUUCCUUUUAGCACUGCUUGAUCUCAUCCUGCUAUGUCCCAUUUCUCCCUAAAACUUCUUUUGGUUUUGCCUUGGUUAGGUGUUGUCACAUCCAGCCUUUGUGAAUCUGUGUGUGAACAUGUGUCCAAACGUGUGCCUGUCUGUGUGUGUGUCUGCUGAAGUAUUAUGAGUGGCUCAGUGGAUGCUGCUGUAUUAUCAGCAGAUAUGAGCCGAGCAGACCUGCUUGUUUGUUCAAUCUGUGGCUCCACCGCUUCAAAUCAAAUCUCCUGUAAUUAGCUCUGUCAUGUGUUCAAGUUCAGGGUGCUCUCAGUGGGCGUGUGUGUGUGUGUGUGUGUGUGUGUGUGUGUGUGUGUGUAUAAAGCAGAGAAUAACCAUAUCCAUGUGGUGCUCGUCUGGGUCCAGCUCAGACUGCAGUCCCACUGCCUGUGUGGGAGGAAUACUGGUGAUGCUGAUUUGGAUGUUUCUGUUAUACCUGCACUUAAAUCACGUCCACAUCACGAAGGAUGUUGGUUGUGUGGGAGAAAAUACUGUGCAUUCAUGGUCAAUAUAGCACUAUAUCCAGUUGCGUUUAAUUACCUUAAAGGACCAGCUUUGGCUGAUAUGAGGCAUCCUUGUUUGCUUUUUCAGGCCUUUUUGUAUGUUUGGCGAGGAGUCAGAUCUAUGUGAGAGUCCCAGUUGUAAUUACGAAUUAGACUAUGACAUGAAUGGUAUUUACAAGUGGGAAACUGGUAUUUAAAGUAGCUCCAACAUGAAGUGAACAUGGCCUCAGCGAUUCCUGUAUCUUUCUAAUGCAAUGCUGCUGUACUAGACAACAGACCCAGAGAUGAUGCUGAGCAUGAGGAUAUUUAUGAUUAUUGUAACAUGUUUCAUGAUUUAUAAAUGUGAAGAAUAAAUAUUUGAAUACCAUCUUAGUUUAACUUUGCUACUUGGCUCUGUAAAAGCUUUCAUGAAUGUUGUGGGAAAUGUUCUCAUUUCUGUAUUGAGACCCUCAAAACACCAUUUGAUUUAAUAUGUGACAGGCUUUGAUUGAGAAAGUGAGUUCACAAAAACUCUGACAGGACAGAAAGUUGGCUCUUAUAUUGCUGCUGCACAUUUCAGCCAUGUCUGUGAAUGUUGCUUGUUGUUUUUCACAUUCUUCCACUCUGAAGAGCAUUUUUGGCUCCCAUUAGUGUGGACAAAAGGCUAAAAUGGAGUGAGAAAAAGAUGUGAUUUCAUAUUUAUCCACAUUAACGUGGACAUUGCCUCAGAGACUAAAUGACAAGAGGAAAGAAAUCAGACAGUGAAGUGCUGAAAUCUCCCCGGAGACUGAUAGAGAAAAGGAGACAGUUUCCACUUAUUCCUCCUCAUCUGACCCUUCCCUCACCCCCCGUCUCUCUCCCUCUCUCUCUCUCUCUCUCUCUCUCUCUCUGUCUGUCUGUCUGCCUCCCAGUGCUGCACAUACACAUAUCAACACACAGCUCUGGCAUGCAGUCACACAUGGCCUACAGCGUGCUGGGUACACGACAGUCACACAAUAGAAACUGUGCAUGAAGAUGCCCACAUCCGCCCCGCUCACAGUUUUGUUGGGAACUGUUUGUGUAUGUUUGGAUGCAGUUGUUGGGUUGCCAGCUGGUGUUGCUGGUUGCCAGGUUUCUCGCAGCUUGUUUACAGCUGUGACCCACAGCAGUGCUGCCUCUGUGCCACAUUCACCACCUCUACUGGCCUUUGUGGAGCUCAGUCAGACAGACCAAGAGUGCUGUGAAUUACAGGGGUUUUAUCUAAAACCUCAACGGUUGUCAUAUGGAGCCAAAUCUAGCAUAACACGAUCCAUUCUGUGACAUUCUGUUCCUCUCUUUUUCCUCUUUUAUCGAGACCUAAAGCUGAAAUAACGGUCUUCAAGAGAUACACUUAAACAUCUCUGAAGGUCAAUGCACAGAAGGGCGUACUCCUAUAAGGAGACAUAAAGAGGAAAUCACACAGCCCUAGAAAGAUCUCUGAAUGAUCAUACAGCCAGAAAACAUGUUCAGACUCAACAUGAAGUCAACUGAAAAACAAAUUUGGACAUGAACAGAUGCAGACUCACUGUAGGUGGCACAAAUUAAGGCAAAGACCCGUCUGCAUAAAUUAAAAAAUGUUUCAUCUUGAGUGACAGUUUUGUGCUUAUCCCGGAGCUGUUUAAAUUCACCUUAUGGACAUACUGAGGUCUGUGCAAUUGGCUGCAAAUAGGGAAGCAGUCAAAACAUCGCAAAAAAAGGGAGAAAUUAAACAAAAUCAAACACACUUUGUAGUUUUGAUAACUAAACUUUCAAUUUAAUUUAUCAAAACAUGUUCUGGUACGAGCUCAUGAAACAUGAGGAUUUACUGCUUUUCUUUGUUUUAUAACAUUGUGAAUUGAAUAUCUUCAAACUGGCAAUUUAUAUAAAAGUAAUCAUUAGCUAUGACCAUGUAUUGCACUUUUUCACAGCUUGGUGGUAGAACCAUGACCUUUGACUGUUGUGGGUGUAGCUGCUCUGUUCAACCACAGUCCUGUAAUGUGGUCGGUGUGAGCCACUGAGGAGCCGGAGCAGUUUGGAGCCAGUGUCUAGCUCAAGCUGACCUACUCUCUUCACUUUCUACGCUCCCAUUUCCCCCCGAUGUUUGGGUUAGGGGUUAGACAAGAGCUGCAUAAUUUUGUCUCUUUCCCCCCCUUCAUUCUUCUUCAUCCAUCCCCCCCACUCUCCUUGGCCUUGAUAUCAAAUAAAGAUGAAGGUGUCGCUCUAAUCGACAUUGUUGCCAAUGAAUCAUUUAGCAGUGUUAGUCUAACAUCCCAGAUUCCAGGUCAGUGCGUCUCACUACACAGCCCGCUGCCAGCAGGGUUUAGCCUGGUUCGGCCUGCCUGCUGUAGACUGGCAUCACUGUGUCUCUGCUGCUGCUGCUGCUGUUGCCAACCAGCAAACGGCCGUCCCUCAGGCACCGGGGCCCCGAUGUGUGGAGGCAUGUCCCCGCUGGAGCAGAGAAAUGCUGCGGGAGGAGGGGGAGAUGUUUUUGAGAACAGCAUACAUUUACCCCUUAGCUUGGUGUGGGGGAGAGUAAUGCUUUUGUACAAAUCUGAUCUCCAGUUUUUUGGUUUCAUACACCAGGAAAGUUCAAAUCUGUGGCUGUGAUUCCAGUUUUCAUUUUCUGUGAAUAUGUUUUACUCAAUAUUGUUUUUUUGGUCUUUGGUUUAUCACACUUGUUAUGAAGCUCUUUAUAUUCUAGUUUGUAGGCUUUUGUUAAAAUGUGACUUGUGUUUGUUUUGUUUUGGUUUAUGUUAGUCUCAUGUGCCGCCCAUCUCAGAUAGAAUUCUCUGUUUAUUUCUCUCAGUAUGUCUGUGACGUUUCCCUGGCAUUUCAUCCUCGUACCUCUGGCUAAAUUUAAACAAAUUGUUGUUUGUAAAGAAAAAAAUGGGCAAAUAAGUGAUCAAAUAAUGUACAAAGCGUAGGCGUAUAACAAUACCUUUUUAGUCUGUGGAAAAAAAUAUUUGUGCUAUGUUGUAUUGUUUUGUUUGGAGUAAUUGUUUUUUUCCUUGUUUGUUUUUUCUUUUUCUUUUUUCUUUGUUGUGUAAUUAUUUAUUCAGUUUCAUUUUUUGAUGUGAUAAAUUCAUACAUACAUUUUAUGACAGACUGUCAGACUGUUCUGAAGGUAAGGAGACACUGUAUUUUAAAGGCUUCAGUUGCAUACUCUGCUGUGCAUUGUAUCUGUGUUAUUAUCAAAAUAGGGUGCGCCUUUUAAAAAUUACCCCAAUGACUAAGAAGACAGAGCUAUAAUCUAUAGAUAGAUAUGUCACACGCUCAUAUUUAUGUAACUUUGCCUUGUAGCAUCUGUUCUACAUAGAGUUUCCUGCGUAGGCAAAACAGUAUUUUGUGAAAGGUAAUAUACAAAUAAAAACUAAAUUUAUUCCUGCAUACUCAUGAAUGUAUUUUAUAACUUCGUACCUGCACAAGCUUGAUUUGCAUGCAUAAUUUAAUGUAAAGUAUAUAACCCAUGCAGUGUUUUUUAACAGGCUGAACAUUCACAAGACUGCAAGAUAAAACAAAACAACCAACCUGAAGCAACCAGAUCAUGAAAUUAUGUUUUUAUUAGAGCUCCAUCCCUGCCUCUUAUUGCAUCAGUGUGUGUUUGUCUGUGUGUGUGUGUGUGUGUGUGUGUGUGUGUGUACAUGUGUGUGUGAAAGUUUCUGUCUCAGAGCAUGAUAAUGCUUGUAUGUUUCAUAAGUUUUAUUACUGUUAUGGAUACAAUUACUUUGUAUUUUUAAGUCUGUGUGUUUGUGUCCAUGGUGCUGAAGUAGCUAUGUGUGUGUGUGUGUGUGUGUGUGUGUGUGUGUGUGUGUGUGUGUUUGUAAGUGCGCUGCAGUGUAAAAGCAGCAGCCAGUAAAAGUAGGUCAGGAGAGAAGGGCUCCCUAGAAGACGAUGUGAACUCGUCACCUUGAAUCGCGUUACAGGCUGUUGAGGGAAGAGAGAGAGAGAGAGACAGAUGAAAGGAAGAGGGGGAGGAGGAAGAGAAGAGAGGUCCAGAAAGGACAGGAAAAGAGAGAGAGAGAGUGAGAGACUGAGGAGGAGGUGCAGAGUACGGUGCAAUGAAGAGGACAAACAAGAAAAAUGAAUGGGAGGUGAAAAAGGAGUAAAAAUAAGUCGUCCUGACUGUCACGUGUGCAUGUGUCCCCAGUGGCUCCAUUUAGUUUGGACAUGUCCUCAUGUAUAAUAGUUUAUGUACUGUUACUAAAAGAAAAACACCUCAACACUACGUCCACAAGAUGUAAUUCUUGGACGUCUGCUAAAUCUUCUUACUGAAGCCACAAUUAAAAUGUAUUUCAUGUUUUAUUGCUGGAUGUUUUACUGUACUUAAGUGAUAA